rnacentral:tRNA from 1 species
UCGCGGGUGUGGCCGAGCAGGACCGCGGCGGCGCCGUGCCGGGACGCGGCCGCGGCGAGCGCGGCGUAGCGGGCGGUCCGGGCCGCCGCCUCCGGGCC